rnacentral:lncRNA from 1 species
ACAAUACUUGUCUGUCAUCGUGAAUCGCCAUUUUGUCAUCUGCAUUUUUUGUACCUCAUACUUAUUAACAUCAACGUUGCAACUUAUUGAGUAGAAUGACAUGACGGUGUUUCGGUUUAAUUAAACCACGAAAGGAUUUCAAGGUUUAAUUAAACUGAAACACUGUCAAGUCAUUCUACUCAAUUUAAGGUUUGUUGAUGUUAAUACGAAUUCAUCAAAUAGACGCCAUGAGGUUAGUAUAUUAGACUCAUAAUAAUUAAUAAUUUUAAAUGGUAGAAUAAUAUUUGUGUAAUCAUUUAUCUGGAAUAAUGUUUGAAUAUUAUUUAUUUAACAGUCAAUUAAAAUCAAUCACUGUCGUGUCAUUUCUACUCAAUUAAAAUUUUGUUCAAGUCUUUACGAAUUCAUCGCCAUUUGUCAUCUGGACUUUUUCUACUUCAACGGUUAAAUUGCAAAUUUUGUAUUGAGUAAAAAGUUUAAUUAAACCACGAAAGGAUUUCAAUGUUUAAUUAAACUGAAACACUGUCAAGUCAUUCUACUCAAUUUAAGGUUUGUUGAUGUUAAUACGAAUUCAUCAAAUAGACGCCAUGAGGUUAGUAUAUUAGACUCAUAAUAAUUAAUAAUUUUAAAUGGUAGAAUAAUAUUUGUGUAAUCAUAUAUCUUGAAUAAUGUUUGAAUAUUAUUUAUUUAACAGUCAAUUAAAAUCAAUCACUGUCGUGUCAUUUCUACUCAAUUAAAAUUUUGUUCAAGUCUUUACGAAUUCAUCGCCAUUUGUCAUCUGGACUUUUUCUACUUCAACAUUUAAAUUGCAAAUUUUGUAUUGAGUAAAAUGCCAUGACAGGGAUUCGGUUUAAAGAAACCUAAAUAAGUUUUCUCGGUAACUUUAAACCGAACCACUGUCAAGACCUUUUCUAUUCAAUUUGAAGUUUGUUGAAGUAGAUAGGAAUUCAUCAAAUAGACGCCAUUUCGUAAGUAUAUUAGACUCAUAAUUAAUCAUUUUCAAUGGAAGAGUAAUAUUAUUUAUUCAACAGUCAAUAAAACUCAAUCACUGUCAAGUCUUCUCUACUCAAUUUAAAUUUUGUUGAAGUCAAUACAAAUUCAUUGUCAUUUGUCAUCUGGACUUUUUCUACUUCAACGGUUAAAUUGCAAAUUUUGUAUUGAGUAAAAAGUUUAAUUAAACCACGAAAGGAUUUCAAUGUUUAAUUAAACUGAAACACUGUCAAGUCAUUUCUACUCAAUUUAAGGUUUGUUGAUGUUAAUACGAAUUCAUCAAAUAGACGCCAUGAGGUUAGUAUAUUAGACUCAUAAUAAUUAAUAAUUUUAAAUGGUAGAAUAAUAUUUGUGUAAUCAUUUAUCUGGAAUAAUGUUUGAAUAUUAUUUAUUUAACAGUCAAUUAAAAUCAAUCACUGUCGUGUCAUUUCUACUCAAUUAAAAUUUUGUUCAAGUCUUUACGAAUUCAUCGCCAUUUGUCAUCUGGACUUUUUCUACUUCAACAUUUAAAUUGCAAAUUUUGUAUUGAGUAAAAUGCCAUGACAGGGAUUCGGUUUAAAGAAACCUAAAUAAGUUUUCUCGGUAACUUUAAACCGAACCACUGUCAAGACCUUUUCUAUUCAAUUUGAAGUUUGUUGAAGUAGAUAGGAAUUCAUCAAAUAGACGCCAUUUCGUAAGUAUAUUAGACUCAUAAUUAAUCAUUUUCAAUGGAAGAGUAAUAUUAUUUUUUUUAUAAUCAUUUAUCUUGAAUAAUGUUUUAAUAUUAUUUAUUCAACAGUCAAUAAAACUCAAUCACUGUCAAGUCUUCUCUACUCAAUUUAAAUUUUGUUGAAGUCAAUACGAAUUCAUUGCCAUUUGUCAUCUGGACUUUUUCUACUUCAAU